rnacentral:rRNA from 1 species
UACGUAGGGCGCAAGCGUUGUCCGGAAUUAUUGGGCGUAAAGAGCUCGUAGGCGGCUUUGCAAGUCAGAGGUGAAAGCCCGGGGCUCAACCCCGGAAUUGCCUUUGAGACUGCAUCGCUAGAACGUCGGAGAGGUGAGUGGAAUUCCGAGUGUAGAGGUGAAAUUCGUAGAUAUUCGGAAGAACACCAGUGGCGAAGGCGACUCACUGGACGACUGUUGACGCUGAGGUGCGAAAGCGUGGGGAGCAAACAGG